rnacentral:rRNA from 1 species
GGACUACUGGGGUAUCUAAUCCUGUUCGCUCCCCACGCUUUCGCUCCUCAGCGUCAGUAUCGGCCCAGAGACCCGCCUUCGCCACCGGUGUUCCUCCUGAUAUCUGCGCAUUUCACCGCUACACCAGGAAUUCCAGUCUCCCCUGCCGAACUCAAGUCUGCCCGUAUCGACCGCAAGCCCCAAGUUAAGCCUGGAGUUUUCACGGCCGACGCGACAAACCGCCUACGAGCUCUUUACGCCCAAUAAUUCCGGACAACGCUCGCACCCUACGUAUUACCGCGGCUGCUGGCAC